GUGGGUGUGGAUGUGCGGGUGUAGGUGUGUAGGAGUCGGGGGUGUGUGAGAGUCCAUUUGGACCGUGUGUAUACUUUUUGAGUGUUAUUUCUCUGUCUUAUGUCAGUGUGGCUUUUUGUGUGGUAUUUGUGUGUGUGUGUGUGUCCACUUGGGGUAUCUGUAUGCGUGUGUGUGUGUGUGUGUGUGUGUGUGUGAGAGAGAGAUGCCUCUGUAUGUUAUGUGUGUGAUUCGUGUAUGUUGUCUGUGUGUGGUGGGGGCUGGGAAUGAGUUACAAAAUGGCUGAGUUGGAUUAAAAUUCACCUCAACCAGCUCCCUUAUUUCCCAGAGGUCUAGGCAAGGAAGGGGAUUUUUGCCCAGGGCCACAUCCUUAUCUGGUCCCAAGCAGGACUUGGACCAGGCCUCCACUUUCCUUAAUCCCAGGCUAGAGUCUCAUAGCUUUAGAGCUGGAAAGUGUUUGAGCUGUGAAUAGGAGUCACACAGCACUGGCAGGCCUGGAUGAGUAAGGAUUUGCACCUGGGGAAGGAAUGCCCAUGAUGAGAUCAUUGAUUGAUUCAUUGGCAUUUUGAAGGGAAUUUAGAGGCCAUCUAGUCCAACUCCUUCAAUUAAUAAAUGAGGAAACUGAGGCCUUGAGUACCACUGCUGACAUUAGGCCUUAAAUUACUUUGGAUUUACUUUGUAUAUAUUUUGUGUUUGUGUGCAUAUUUUUUUUCUCCUCUUUACCCCCAUCCCUAAAAUGUAAUCUCCUGGAGGACAGGACUUGAUUUUGUUUUUGUAGUCCCAGUGCCUAGUACAGUGCUUGAUACAUAUUAGGCACUUAAUAAAAUGCUUGCUGAGUGAACAAAUAAAAGUGACUUGUCCCAAAUCUCACAGCUAGGAACAAAUAGCAGAGCCAGAAUCAAAUGUGAAUCCCCUGACAGAGGAUCUCAACCAAUCAAUCCACAAGCAUUUAUUAAGCUUCUACUAUAUGCCAGGCACUGUUCUAGGCAUCAGGGUUAUGGACACAUAAGGAAAACAGUUCCUGUUCUUCAUGUCCCAAAAGUCUUUGUGCAGUCUUAAAAGUUUUAAUGGACUAAGAUUUUUGGGACACCCUGUAUUGGGAAAGUUCUCUGCACACCUUAAAGUACUAUUAAAAUGUUAGCUAUUGUUAAUGUCAUUAUCAUGUAAAACAAAGGCAUCUAGCUAGUGGAAUGAAUAGGGAGCUGGGCUCAUAAUCAGAAAGACCUGGGUUCAAAUUGUGUCUCCAACACUUUUUAGCUAUGUGACCCUGGGCAAGUCACAUCUGUUUGUCUCAGUUUCUUCAUCUGUGCAAUGAAGUGAUUGCACUCAAUGGCCUGUUCAGUUCCUUCUGGCUCCAAACCUAUGAUUCUAGGGAAUACAAAAUAACCUUGGGGGUAACCCACAGGACUUAAUAUGGUCAAAAAGAUAUUGCCUCUUUUUUCCUCCUAGUGAGAGGUUCCUGUUAUCUGUCGGAUUCAUACUGAAGUUCACUGGCAAACUGUGGAUGAGUUGAGAUGGAAAGAGUACAUUCUGUUGCCUGGAGAUACAGAGCAGAGUGGGAGGAGACUUGGAUGCUUGUCUUGUCUCUGUCACAAACGAGUUCUUUGACCGUGGGCAAAUCACUUCCCUUCUCUGGCCUGCAGGCGCCAUGACUCAUUCCACUACUUCAGUCUCCUAAUGGUGGAGGGAUUUGAGAGGACCUGGAGCUGCUCUUGAUCAACUGCCAUGACGUCUAUGAAAUGUGCGUUAAUUAUUCAACUGAUGCAUUCCACCAUCUUGAUGAAAACAUCCUCUGCUCUCCAGUAAUUGUUCAGGCUCUGUUUGGCUUCUAGAAUGAAUGCCUAGGGCUCCAAGUGGAUGCUGCUCAGCCUUUUCAUGAAGAGGUCAAAAGGAACUCCUUAUUGCUGAACACAUGGAAGAUGUGGAUCCAGUUCUUGUAGAGAAACAGACUGUGCUCUUAACUCCAUCCUAUGAGUUCCCAGGGGAGAGAGGGCAAAAGAAGAUGGCUUCAGGGAUCAGUACAUAUUGUUUCCCCAACUAAAAAACAACUCAACGUUCAUCCUACUGGGUCAGUUCAGUGGCUCAGUCUGGAGAGACAUCUUUUUCUCUCAAAGACAGCACAUGGCAACCCCAUUGUACUCCAUAUUUUGGACUCACUGGAAUCCAGGAAGGUGAGGGAUUGAGAGGCAGUGUGGUAUAAUGGAGAGCAUAUUGGACUGGCAGUCAGGAGAGACCUAGGUUCAGAUCCUGCCUCAUAUACUAUGGUGACCAUGGCAAACCCCACUUAUUUCAUCCUAACACAGUUAGCCAGCCAGUUUCCCCUCUUGUUUCAUAUGGAUUCGUUUCAUGCAAGAACCUGGUAUAUAAAGAAUCCUAGAUUUGGAAUCAGAGGACCUGGGUUCAAAUUCUGGCUUUACGGCUUUACCACCUUUGUGAC